rnacentral:rRNA from 1 species
AACGCGAAGAACCUUACCCAGGCUCGAAAUGUAAUGGACGAUAUCAGAGAUGAUAUUUUCCGCAAGGACCGUUAUAUAGGUGCUGCAUGGCUGUCGUCAGCUCGUGCCGUGAGGUGUUUGGUUAAGUCCAGCAACGAGCGCAACCCUUAUCAUUAGUUGCCAACAUUUAAGAUGGGGACUCUAGUGAGACUGCCUAGGUUAACUAGGAGGAAGGUGAGGAUGAUGUCAAGUCCGCAUGGCCCUUAUGUCUGGGGCUACACACGUGCUACAAUGGUCGGUACAGAAGGCAGCGAAGUCGUAAGAUGGAGCAAAUCCGUAAAACCGAUCUCAGUUCAGAUUGUGGUCUGCAACUCGGCCACAUGAAGUUGGAAUUGCUAGUAAUGACGUGUCAGCAACAACGUCGUGAAUACGUUCCCGGGCCUUGUACACACCGGUACUA